CAACUACAUAACGGAUUUAGUUUCGGUCCCUAAUUUUUUUUUAAUAAUAUUUACAUUUUGCUUGAUAUAUAUUUCCAUAAAAAUCAUCACACUUUUUUCAAAACAGUUAAACAUGUUAAAAUAACACUUUUUAGAAACAUAUUUUAAAGUGAAUUUAAUUCAGCAUUGUCAACUACAUAACGCUUUUUGUCAACUACAUAACAAUUCACUGCGUUAUGUAGUUGACCGUUAUGUAGUUGACCUAUUUGUGGUUUUUGGAUGUUUUUUUUUUACCCUAAUACUACCAGAUAAAUGGUUUUU
rnacentral:lncRNA from 1 species